GACUCGGUGGCGGAUGGUCCGCGUCUGCCCUCCUUACGGAAUUAUGAGGUAUCCGAGCAGAGGAUGCCUGUUCGAAUCAGGCUCGAGUCA